rnacentral:rRNA from 1 species
UACAGAGGGUGCAAACGUUGUUCGGAAUCACUGGGCCUAAAGCGUACGUAGGCGGCGUCGUAAGUGUCGGAUGAAAUCCCACGGCUUACCCGUGGAACGGUCCGGCAUACUGCGGUGCUAGAGGAUGGUAGAGGAGAGCGGAACUCUUGGUGGAGCGGUGAAAUGCGUAGAUAUCAAGAGGAACACCGGUGGCGAAGGCGGCUCUCUGGUCCAUGUCUGACGCUGAGGUACGAAAGCCAGGGGAGCAAACGGG